UCAUGUCAUUGUCACCCAUUUUAGAAUCUGCUUUUAUGAGUCCUCCAUAACACACACACACAAACAUGCACAGCCCCAAAGAAGCUUUGAUUCCUCUCGAGGUUCCCUUCCUUGACUAUUUUCUCCCCUUUUUGCUUUCCAGGGAAAGGCGACGGGAAGAAAAGCCCCGCUAUGGCUCCGAGCAAAGUUCCAGAGACUGUUGUUUAAACUGGGCUGUUACAUUCAGAAAAACUGCGGGAAAUUUUUGGUGGUGGGCCUCCUGAUCUUUGGGGCUUUCGCGGUGGGAUUAAGAGCAGCCAACCUCGAAACCAAUGUGGAGGAACUCUGGGUAGAAGUUGGUGGACGAGUGAGUCGGGAGUUAAGUUACACGCGCCAGAAGAUUGGAGAAGAGGCCAUGUUUAAUCCCCAACUCAUGAUUCAGACACCACAAGAAGACUUUGCUAAUGUACUAACAACAGAAGCACUCCGACAGCACCUUGAUUCUGCACUUCAGGCCAGCAGGGUACAUGUCUAUAUGUACAACAGACAAUGGAAAUUGGAACACUUAUGUCAUAAAUCAGGAGAACCAAUCACAGAAACCGGCUACAUGGACAAGGUACAGACAAUAUUUGCUAUCCUUAGUGUGUAUUUUUUGAGUUAA
rnacentral:lncRNA from 11 species